rfam:Pteropus alecto contig6798, whole genome shotgun sequence.
GUCUAUGGCCAUGCCAAUGUGAACAAGCCUGAUGUCUGAUCUCGGAAGCUAAGCAGGGUUGGGUCUGGUUAUUACUUGGAUGGAAGAUCACCUAGGAAGACCAGGUGCUAUAGGCA